GUCCAGUGGCUGGGCUGCCAUCCUCCAGGGCCAAGGGUUGGAUCUAAAGCUGAAGGACAGUGAACCCGAACAGACUGGGUGUCCCCGAGGAAUCGGGGAUGGCCAGAGCUCUGCCGAACAACUUGGAACAUUUCCUGAAAGUAAAUGGCCACAAGGAGGUUGCUCAGGUGUGCGGAAAAUGAUGCAGAAUUCUAGCCAGAAAGAACAAGAUCAGCAGAAAAUGCCCGGUGGAGUACUGUGUGUGUGGAUCCCAGCCCCUCAGCCAGCUGUUUGCAACCCUGAGCUUCUGUCCCCCGGGAUUCUUCUACUGUGGUGAAUGUUAUUUUCACAACUCGCACAGAGAUUGAGUCAUUGAUGGAUUGUGGUGCUGGGAAUUGAACUCAGGACUUCGGUACUGAACCCCAUCCCCAACACCUUUUUAUUUUAUUGUUUUUUAAACUACUAAAUUGAUAAGUAGUUCAUACUGAGUUUGAACUUUGUCAUCCUCCUGCCUCAGCCUCCCAGAGCACUGGUAUUACAGGUACGUACUACCACACCUGGCUGAGAGGUAUUUGGUAUCCUCA
ensembl:lincRNA